UGAGUCCUUAAGUUGCAGCUUUUAACUACCUCGGUGUUCAAAGAAAAGCUGAUGCUCAGCGGGAACAGAAGGAAGAGCCUGCUGGCAGGUAGACAGCAUGGACACUGAUCCUGGCAGGGCUGGCUGCUGAGAGAGGUCUUCUGGGGGUGCUGCCAAGCCUCUCCUGCUCCAGGUGAUGCCCCAGUUCACCUUUGCUUGCUUCUGUGGGCUCCAUGGCUUCUGCAAGAUGAAGAGGAAGAAAGAAGAGGCCAGCACAGAGCAGGAGACAGCAGUGUGAGAGCAGAUCCGUGUGUGUGCCCUGCUGAGAGGUGCCUCAGGACCCUGUUCCCUUCCCAUUGAUCCUUGUGUGGCCAGGAGAGAGCUGAAGCACAGGAAUGGCCUUGCCAAGAGGCAGAAGCAGAUGCUGUGGAUGUUACCCAGGUGCUGCAAGAACCCUGCCCAGACACCCAGCCCAGCCAAGUGCUCAGCCCUUGGCACCUGAGCAGCCAGUGACAGCAGGACCCUGUGUCCCAGCAGGGUAGAGAUUCCCCUCCUGAGCAAGCUGCCCUGCCCUUGCUCCACCCAGCCUCAACAGCCAGACCUGGAGGGGGUUUCAGAAGCCAGGGCUGGUCCUUGCCCUUCCUGGAGCCACAGUGGUGGAGAGGCUGGCCCC